AGGGUUCGAUUAUGGCUCAGGACGAACGCUGGCGGCGUGCCUAACACAUGCAAGUCGAACGGGGUACCCAUGACGGAGAUUUCGGUCAACGGAAUGGACUACCUAGUGGCGGACGGGUGAGUAACGCGUGAGCAACCUGCCCUUCGGAGGGGGACAACAGUUGGAAACGACUGCUAAUACCACAUAACAUAUAGCCAAGGCAUCUUGGAGAUAUCAAAGAUUUAUCGCCGAAGGAUGGGCUCGCGUCUGAUUAGCUGGUUGGUGAGGUAACGGCUCACCAAGGCGACGAUCAGUAGCCGGACUGAGAGGUUGAACGGCCACAUUGGGACUGAGAUACGGCCCAG
rnacentral:rRNA from 1 species